UCCGAAGAUAGUGUCAACAUCCGGUCAUGACGUAAUUCAGCUCGGUGGCAGGGGCGGCCACCGGUGCUCCACGAGGUGUCAGCAGAUAGGGUACAGUGUGCUUUUACAGUCAGCGUCAGAUAAAGUCAUUCUUUCUCUGAGGCUGAGGGGGGAAAAAAAGGAGGAGGGCAUUACACAAUUACCCUCAGUGUGGAAGAAACUCAGUAUCUCGCCUCAUAAUGGAUAGAUCUGCACUCCUGUUUCUGUCUGCCCUUCUUGCAGGAUCCUGCGCUCAGUUUACAGACGCCAUCAACGUUGAUGUACGAAAAAAUGAGCCAUCAACACAAAAAUCAGAGAAGACAGAAAACUACAUGCCAAUACUCUGCUCACCAAUACCUACCACCUUAUCCUCACCCUCUUC